rnacentral:lncRNA from 1 species
CUUCUAAUGAAGAAUUUAUUCUUGAAUAUCUUAAGUUCUGAAUAUAAUUAAAACAUCCUGAAUAAAUUUUGGGAUAAGAGUAUUCAAGAAGUAUAAAUUCGGUGAAUAUCAUCAUUGAGCGUAUUAAACUAGCACAUGUAUAAGAGUGUAAGUCAUUGACUGUCUUCAAGAGGAAUGUAUUCAUAUUUGUUAACUAUAUUUGAUAAGAAUUUUCCUUAAAUAAGGUUUUGGAAAAUUGGCAGUGUUGACUAAUUUGAGCAGUUGGUCGUUGGCAACUUGAUUUUUCAGAGAUCUUCGUAUCAUAGAAUUGACUUUUGGUGCAUUGGCCAAAGCCCCUCAAAGACCACUGGAGAAGAUAACCAGAGCACCUCCUGGAGGUCGGAGCAACUGGCGGGUGCUGAAGGAUGCCUGGCCGGCUGCCCGCUGUACCUGGCUGUGCAGAGAGGGAACAGGAGAUGGAGCUCCCCUUGGCUACAGCCUCUGAGCCCAGGGCCUGGCUGUCUCCCACGGACUUCAGCUGCAGAGAAUCAGAGUGGAGGCCGAGAGGAGCCAGAGGCAGACCCAGCAGACCCCUGUGCAUCUGGAGAAACUGGGGAAGAAGAGUCUAGAUCAGAUGCCAGCUGACCUGCAAGGGGAGCAGUGAAAUCCGGCAGGCGUCUGGGACCUCAUUCUGUCUCUCCACGGAGUCAGUCUCACUUCCUGGAAAAGCAAAUCAUCAUGAACUGCUUCCUCCCUGGACCAAAAACCAAAAGCAUCCUUGACAACAAUGUACCAGUUCUGGCUGCCGACAGACCUUUUCAGAUGGGACGAGCUUCCAAUCAAUUCUCAUUUCUUCCGGGUGAGAGAGAGAAGCUGUUGGGUGACCCAGCGGGCCCGUGAACCUCCCACCAGAAAUCACUUCGGCUUCUACUUUUCUGCUUAGCUGAGCUGCCAGCUUUUCUGCAAAUUCAGCUCUUUCUCCAAAUGAUUCGCAGAAACAAACGCUCCUCAAAGGCAGAGGAAGGUCUACCCCUGUGAGCUGGCAUCCGGUGCCAGAGUGGCAUUCACUAAAGUGAAAACAAGAAAGUAAUGAUGGUAAUAAUAAUAACAAUAAAUCCUUAUAAGCAAUAACCAGGUGCCAGGCCCUAGACAGAUAUGGUAGCUUAUUUAACCCUUACCACAACCCUGUCUGGUAGAUACUUGCCCACUUUCUGGAGGAGGAAAACGAGGCACAGAAAGGUUAAGUAACUUGCCCAAGUUCACACCGCUGGUGAGUGGAGAAGCCAGGAUUUCAACUCAGGCCAUCUGGCUCCAAUUAUUGAAUAGAUACCACCUGGCCAGACACUGCUGGGUGCUGGGAAUAUAGAAAAGGAACAACAGAAAACACAGCCCCUGCCUUGAUGGAGCUGAGGGGUCGAUCAGGGGAUGGGGGCACUGAACCAUUAAAUGUACAAAUCA